rnacentral:rRNA from 1 species
GACGAACGCUGGCGGCGUGCCUAAUACAUGCAAGUAGGACGCUGAAGGAGGAGCUUGCUUCUCUGGAUGAGUUGCGAACGGGUGAGUAACGCGUAGGUAACCUGCCUGUUAGCGGGGGAUAACUAUUGGAAACGAUAGCUAAUACCACAUAAUAUCAGUUGUUGCAUGACAACUGUGUGAAAGGUGCAAUUGCACCACUACCAGAUGGACCUGAGUUGUAUUAGCUAGUUGGUGGGGUAACGGCUCACCAAGGCGACGAUACAUAGCCGACCUGAGAGGGUGAGCGGCCACACUGGGACUGAGACACGGCCCAGACCCCUGCGGGAGGCAGCCGUCGGGAACUUUCGGAAAUGGAAGGAAGGGUGAACGAGCAACGCCGCGUGAGUGAAUAAGGUAUUAGGAUCGUAAAGGUCUGUUGUACGAGAAGAAUGAGUGUGAGAGUGGAACGUUCACAUUGUGACGGUACCUUAACAGAAAGGGACGGCUAACUACGUG